rnacentral:rRNA from 1 species
GAUGAACGCUGGCGGCGUGCCUAAUACAUGCAAGUCGAGCGAACAGACGAGGAUCUUGCUCCUUCGACUUUAUCGGCGGACGGGUUAUUAACACGUAGGUAACCUACCUAUAAGACUGUGAUAACUUCGGGAAACCGUAUCUAAUACCGGAUAAUAUUUCGAACCGCAUUGUUCGCUAGUGAAAGAUGGCUUUUCUAUCACUUAUAGAUGGACCUGCGCCGUAUUAGCUAGUUGGUAAGGUAACUGCUUACCAAGGCUACGAUACGUACCCGACCUGAAAGGGUGAUCGGCCACACUGGAAGUGAGAAAGGGUAGAGACUCCGAGGGGAGGCAGCAGUAGGGAAUCUUACGCAAGGGGGGAAAGGGGGAUGGAGCAAAGCCGGGUGAGGGAUGAAGGUCUUAGGAUCGUAAAACUAUGUUAUUAGGGAAGAAGAAAAGUGUAAGUAACUGGGAAGGUAUUGACGGUACCUAAUCAGAAAGCCACGGCUAACUACGUG